rnacentral:pre_miRNA from 1 species
CAUUUCAAAUUGGCAGCGCAGCAUGGAGUCUGGGGCCAGCAGGGGACUGAGUCCCUGCUGACCCCGGGCUCCAUGUUGCACUGCUACUUUGAAAUG